AUCAAUGUGGUUAGACUUUACUUGCAAGUGAUUCUAUUUCACAAUUAAUUCCUCCAAAGAAUGUAUAGAGUCCAUUUCAGAAAGAAAAAAGGAAAAAAAAAAAAAAAAAAAAAAGAAAAAAAAAGGGGGGGGGGCAAACAGCCUUCUAAUUAUUCUUCCUCUACUAUAUUCAUUUAUAAACUUAUUUACAUAUUUUUCUUCUUUAACCCCCAUGUCCCACAACACACAUCCAGUAACAUUGGCCACACCAAACUCUAAGUAACAGUGAUCCAUAUCCACAGAACAACAUCCC
rnacentral:lncRNA from 1 species